UCUUUUCCUUUUGUUCCAGCCGCCGCGGUAAUACGGAAGGUCCAGGCGUUAUCCGGAUUUAUUGGGUUUAAAGGGAGCGCAGGCGGCGGCGUAAGUCAGUUGUGAAAUCGUGCGGCUUAACCGUGCAAUUGCAGUUGAUACUGCGUCGCUUGAGUGCACACAGGGAUGUUGGAAUUCAUGGUGUAGCGGUGAAAUGCUUAGAUAUCAUGAAGAACUCCGAUCGCGAAGGCAUAUGUCCGGAGUGCAACUGACGCUGAGGCUCGAAAGUGUGGGUAUCAAACAGG
rnacentral:rRNA from 1 species